GCCCGGCCACCUCUCGCCGCACUCCCGCCCCGACCCGCACUCAACGCCGCAGGAAGGGGAGGACCGGGGGGCGGUGGCCGCGGAGCGGCUGACGGUGCCCGGGCGCGCCUCUUAAAGGGGCCGCGCCACGGGAAGAGGGCCGGGUCCUUGAAACAGACCAGGACGGCGGCUACCGGGUCUAACCCCACUCUGGACACAGGGGCUCCCCAGAUCGGUUGGUUCCGAGCGAUCCCUCCACGGUGGAGGCCCUGACUAGUUCUUCACACCUCGAACAGAAAUACCUGGUUCCCCAUUUCUGCACUGCCAAGGCACCUACCAACCUCGGUGGUGACCGCACCAGGGAAACACUCAGGAGGAUCCACACUACAGAGAAAUCAACUAGGGCAGGCCACCCAAUGAGACAGCCAUGGCCAGGCUGGGUCCCCCAUGCCAGCGGCCCGAGGGCCAGCCAGCAAGCCUCUGGUGUAGGAGAUCUGAGGUGGGUGGUAAAGCUGAACAAUGGCCACACAGUUGUCACGGGACUCCUUCCACCGAGUGAUGAAUAGGAAUGUCUCUCCCUCAGCUCAUACAAAGCGUCUUCCUCCCCGAGUCCUGACUUUUGGCCUCCAGUGUAGUAUUUGCGCGGUCUCUCUCUUUCUCUGAAGGGAUCACAAACCUCUUUCUUAGCCUCGGAGCUGGGUGGAAGAUAGGAAACCUUUGAUGGUUUCCAGAGAAGGUUAAUGAUCUGAGGCGCAUAGCAGAGACACUCUCAGGAGGGAGUCUCCUCUAUAUAAAAGCAAAUCCAGGCCAGCGUGCCGGGUGAGGUGAAAGGAAAGGGGAUUUGGCAACUGAAGAACAGCCUGAGUUCUGAUUACUUUUUCCUCUCCGUGCCUCAGUUUCCCCAGAAUUGAGACAAAACCAGAGCACCUGCCCCCCCUUAUUUCCUUGGUUGUAAACAGUCUCUUUUAGCGAAAUGGAGCCCAGGACCAGCGGCUAGAUUAGCAGGGUCUCCCUGACUUCGACCGUGUGGUCUCGUGAUUCUCUUUUCCUCCCUGGAACUCACUCUCGUCCUCAUCUGUAGCUGUUUUCUGCACCCGUGGGUUCAGUCUGUGGGAACGUCGGCAGGGCGGGCGAGCCUUCGGAGCCCAGCUCAGCACGCUGUGCAGCUCGCGACUGCCCUCUGCAGACCUCUUUCAUCUCAUUCCCCGCCUACCUCACCCUUCUCUGGCCCAGCAGGCAGUAAACAAGCUGUUCGUUUAUCUUGAGACGAGGGCCCAUACUUCUGGACUCGAGUGACCCACUUCUUGCUUCAGCCUCCUGAGCUAGCUGGGACUACACUUAUAUGCCAGCAUGGUAGCUUUUAAUAUUUUAUAAAUAAAUACAUUUGCUUUUAAA